CACACACACACCCCAGAUUCAUCCACAAGAGAAUGGAAAACUGAACAUUUCAUAUAACGGAAUAUUUACAGCAGUUAAAAUGAUUGAACCAAAACUACCUGUAUCAACUCAGAUACAUCCCACAAGCAACACUGGAAGAAGAAAACCUAGUUGUGAAAGAAGGCAUAUCAGGUAUAAUAUAUAAAUGAUGUCAUUUCUAUGAAACAAAACGUGUAAAACCACACUGUAGGUCGCUUAAGGUACAAAAAUGUCUGUGGUUAAGUAGCACCUGCUUUGGUUGGAAGAGGCCACCUGCAAGGUGACAGGUCGGGAGGUGGCUGGAGUGGGGACACGAGUGGUUUUAAUGUACAUGCCAUGUUUUAUUUCUUAAGCUGGGUGAUACCUUUAUAAUUACUUUCGUGUUGUCUUUAAAGCUUUCAGUUUCUUAAAUAACGUGUUUUUAAAGAAAAGGAGGAAGGGGGAAAAAUAGAAAAAAAUCAAAGGAACUGUGUUAGAACCGGGAAUUGAGCCACCUUUUCAAAGUGCUGAAUUGUUUAAACCUGGAGCAAAAGAAUAUUCUCUGGCGCAAACAGAAGCGUCCCUGUGUCCGUGCCUCUGGGACAAUGCCCCAUAAACUUGGGCAUUUGGGCAAAUCCACUCUGAUAGUGACUGUUGCCUGCCAACGACACACAGCAGCCGUGGACCAGUCCCAACGGGGUGAUGGGGAGUAAGUAGCCCUCAUUACAGAGCUGUUUGAUCGAUUUGAGUUCUAGAAGCUGAACAAUGACUCUCUUUCUCUCUUUUUUUUCACAAUCAUCUUGCAAGAUCUAUCCAGGGAUUCUCACAGUGGCUGAAACUCCAACAGGCAGGGCAAGACCAUUUCUUGGAGUCUAAUUUGGCCACAGGCUGCUAUUUACCUCCGUCCACAUCAUUUACUCUUUACUGAGUGAGAAAGGAUUUUAAUGUCAAAGACUGACACCUGAAUUCUAUCAAUUUCCCUCUGUUUUCUUUCCGCGGUAACCGUAUCCAAUCGGCCUGCGCACGCUGCUGCGGAGGGGGGCUGUAAUCACAGCCCUCCCUCUCAGGCCGGGGCUGCCCUGCACUUGUUUCAUCCUGCGAGCUCAGUUGCUGGGUCUGUUUCCAGGGGUGUCUUUCAGCGGGUGGCAUGAGCUGCGAAAUCAGUCACACAAAUGAUCCACCAUAUAUAAAAAGGCCACCGAUACAUCAACAGCCCUUAAAACCAAGCAACGGUUAAAAUAACUACUAGACCAGCAGCAGCAAACGCACCCGGCAGCCCAGCAAAGAGACACCGAGAAGGCAAGUCCUGGCAUUUGGCUCCUGAUUUACGCCCCACUUAUCAUCUAUUCAGGGCAUGAAACAUUCUGAAGAGAAGAUGCUAAAAAAUGGGGAAAGAUUGCCGUAACAAGCGGAAAGGCAUGGUGCUGGGCCGUCAAGAGGGGGGUAUUUAUGUUCCUAAAGAGGUAAUUCUCAUGACGUCUGAUCCAUGUGUCUUCCGUGGGGCCUGGAAUUGGGGGGCUGGCGGGAGAAGUGGCCACCUCCCUGUCUCCAGCAUCAAUGCCAUUCGGUCCUGCUCUGGUCAGAAGGCUCCUCUGCCUGAUGCUUGGCCCCUCCACGUGAUGUCACAGAGGCAGCCAAUUGACAGUAAUCCUGGACUUAGCAUCUGAAGACCUGGGUUCAAGUCCCAACUGUGCCAUUCAUUAGUUGUGUGACAAUGGGCAAGUCACUUGCCUCUCUGAGCCUCAGUUUCCCCAUCUGUGCAAUGGAGUCAAUGAUCCCCCAUGUCAUGAUGAGAUGGGGUUCUGAAUACGACCCGCUCAGACAGCUGGGCAGGUCCCCAGGGAGCAGUGCGGUGAGCACACACGGGCUGGAUGUUGCAUCCUCUUUGCUGAGCCUCCGCAUCUGGCAGACCCAGCUGACCUCGGGGGGCUCUGAGGGAGGCCAGGGGGCCAGAAAAGGUGGCAGAGUGAUGAGAGGGAACAGCGAAGGGACAGGUCUAGACCAGCAGGAGAGAGGGCUGCCCCUGGGCCCAGGGAGAAGCUGAUGCUGGAUCCCCUCAACUGGACUCCAGGGGUCUCUGGGGACAGAACAGUGUGUGAUAGGUUGGAUUAUAUCCCCCCCCCCCGCCGAAGGAUCUGUCAAGUCCUAACCCCUGGUACCUGUGAAUGUGACCUUAUUUGGAAAUAAAGUCUUCACAGAUAUAAUCAAGUUAAGAUGAGGUCAUACUGUAGUGGGGGGCCCUAAAUCCAAUGGCUGGGGUCUCUCUAAGAGAAAGGAGAGAUGCAGGCAUACAGGGAGGGAAGAUGGAGGCAGAGAUUAGGGUGAUGCGUUUACAAGCCAAGACGUGCCAGAAGCCACCAGAAGCUGGGGGACAGGCAAGGAGGAAUCUGCCUCCGAGCACAGCCCUGCCAUGACACCUCGAUUUGGGAUUGCUGGCCUUCAGGACCAUAAGGAAAUACAUUUCAAUUGUUUGAAGCCAUCCAGUUUGCUAUGGAAGCCCUGGGAAUCUAACAUAUGGCCUGAGCAGGAAGCUCUGGGCCUCAGGUAGGACAAGCCAGUCUCUGCCAGCCCCAAAUACGGAGGACCUGCUUCCCCAGGCAUUAGGUGUUAGCUUCCUGCGUCUUAGGGAGCUCAGCGUGUGUGCACCCACCAAGGAGCUCUCAGGCCUGAGUCCCUGGCAUCGCUGAGCUGUCAUGUCUAUGUGCACGUGUGUAUUUUACACACAGAUGUUGGGAUCAUUGUGGAAUGUGGCUCUACAGAUCAUUAAAUUAUUUUCUAGCAGUUGCAUUGAUUUCCAGUUCCUGAUGGAAUUGUAUCUUCCUAUUACAUCAAUUUUCAUUUUCAGUAAAAAUUAAUUCAAUUUUCUUUGAGUGGAAAUAAAAAACAAGGGAAGAGAGGAAAGAAGGGAAGACAGCAAGGAGAGUGAGAGAGCAGGAUUCAGAGUCAGAUGGAACCAGAAUGCCAUCCAAUCACAGCUUAGCAGUUGGGCUUCAUGGCUGUGUGAGCCUGGGCAGGUCACUUGCCCUCUCUGAUCUGCAGCUUUCCCACACAGAUGAUAAUAUCCACGUCACAAAGUGCUGGGGAAGAUGAAAUGAAAUAGUGGGUCCGAAGGUGUUGGCACAGCAGGCCAAGUGUUUGUUCUUGUUAUCUUUCAGGAGCGUCUUUGCCAAGUGCACCCCGAGUAGGGAAGCUGGUGACACGAACACUGUUUGGAACCUCCCAGGCUGCCACCUUUGCCUGCUGUUAGAUGUGAACUGUGCUGUCUUAGCAGAGUUGGAAGCCUCAAAGAGUCAUCUGGGGAUCUGGGUUCCUUCCGUCUUGUGGCCCCUUCCUGCUCUGAGUUCUUGGGAUCCUCUCCAUUCGACCGUUAGACGGUGAAACAGAGUGAGGACCACAAGUGGGAGGGCAGGGGAGAGCAGGUGUGACAGGGACUGCACACCUCGGAAAGCUGACAAUAUUUACCACCUGGCUCUUCAAGACAAAAGCGGUCGACUCCUCCCGCAGGGGGAGCAGCGGGAUGGAUUGAAGGGGGCUUUAAAUCCUUAAGACACGCCCCCAUUGAGAAGGGGGUCUCUUUCCCUUCCCUUAGGCUCUGGAUGGCGGAAGUGAUGCUAUGUCAGUUCCAGCCUAGAUUUUAAAAGAUUAUUUCCAGUGGUGCUUUCUGUUUCUUGGAGCCUAAGCUGACUGCCCAGCUAGAGGGAUCACAUGGAGAGCCCAGCCUUCCAGUCAUCCCCACCAAGCCACCAGGCAUGUGAAGCCACCUCGGACCUUCCAGGACCAGGCUAGCCACCAAUUGAACGUCACCGAGUGACUCUAGACAUUGCUGCCUAGAAUAGAAUAUGCGCCCGGCUAAGCCCACACCAGAUGUCUCGUCCACAAAACCAUGCGUGUGUGAUUAAGUGGUGGCUGUCAUGUCACUGUUUGUCAUGCAGAGACAGACCCAGGGCUGGAAGAGACGAGAGAGACUGCCGGAUCAUCAUUCCUGCCAUCUCUGACUGAGCACCUUAGCGACCGAGACGGGAGGGGGCUGGAGAUCACUGAACCACACCACAGACAGACCGUGACUUGGGGAGACUAACUCUGAGCCAGCCCAAGUUUUAAAUGCUGAAGACGGAGGGGAAGCAGGCUACUCCGGAGAAAGAAAAGGAAACACGAUGGCAUUUUAACUGAAGCUGCAGACUCUGCCAGGUCACUUGGGCAUCCUUCUUGCACUCUACUGGAGUGUGGAGAGCCACAUGGGGGACAAUGAAAAACAGCACCCACCCCUAGAGUCCCCUGGGAGUCCUUGAGGAAAUCACCCAAAACAAAGAGAGAGCAAAGAUGUGAGGGGAGCUUGGGGAAGACGGUUGACACAGAAGAUGAAGACAUGCACAUCACUGUGUUUGUAAAGGGAGAAUAGAGCAGUGUCUGUUUCGUCUCUCUGACCUGCCAUGGGUAGCGUCUCUACGUUUAUGGUGAUUGCGUUGGGCCCACCCAGAGACUCCAGGAUAAUGUCUCCAAUUCAGGGUCCUUAAUCUACUCACACCUGCAAAGUGCCCUUUGCCACCAUAUUCACGGGUUCUGGGGAGAGGGAUGUGGGCAUCUCUGGGGAGGUCCGUAUUCUGCCCACUGCAGUUGGCAAUCGUUAUUUCUCAGAAUCAGGAUUUGGAGUUGUUUUCAGUUUUCUUUGAAAUGUCAAAAUGAAUAUAUAUCAUUUUUACAAGAAAAUACGGAUUAUUGUCUGAAAUACAAAGUGACUCCCUUGCCUCUCUGGGGUCUGGCUACUCCCCACAGUGGGAAGCUGUGUCAAAAUACUCAUAACCAGCUAAUGGGUUUCUGUCCAGAUGUCCCCAGAGCAUUCACCGUGGGGCAGUGCUGCUCAGUCCCCGUGGGCCUGGAUUGUGUUGCAGGGCGUGUGGAAAAUGCAAUCCGCACACAGACAAACCUGGACGAUGAGAAGGUGCUUAGCUAUCUCAGCGAUACGGCCAACCUCUAGAGAGAAUGGACUCUGGGUGGGCACUCGCCCUGCCUUCUCAUAUUCAAUUGUUACUAUAAGCAUAAUCAAGGGCAGAUUCUGUUAUCACCCAUUUUACAGCAGCUCAGAGUUUCAGCAGCGCGCCCAAGAGCUGAGGUCACAUGGCAACAUCCCAUUUGCAGAACUGUCACCUCCCGGGACGGAGACCCGCAUCUUACUCGUCAUGGUGGCCUCUGCACCUGGCUCCUUGGAAGCAUUUAAGGAUGGGCAGGUUUGCCGAGUUACAUGUGGGGGCAGGACCUGUGCUUUGCUCCCUGACCAGGCCCCUCAGCCCCGUGUCCCCACCUCUGUGUCACCUCAGAGGACAGAAGGGCCCACCACCUGCCAUCUUCCUCUCCACAGGCAUUCAGCGCAGCACCUGCUGGGGAGAGACAGAGUGGAAAACUGAGGCUUGGGGACCUUAAACGAAUUGUGUUUUCUAUUCUGUUCACUCUGGCAGCAGAAAAAAAGUAAAAACAACAACAACAAAAAAAACAACAAGAAAAGAAAAAAAUCAGUGACCAUUCAGUUAACGCUCUGUAUUAACAAAACUGUUGUUGUGUGUGUGCAUGUGUGGGGUGUGCAUGUGUGUGGUGUGCAUGUGAGUGUGAACAUGUGCACACGUGUGAGCGUGUGCUUGUGUGCUCGUGCGUGGACACACCCGCAUCCUGGUGCACACGCAUCUUACUUUUCAGCAGACUCUGGACGACCUAUGUCACCUGUAAGAUAGAGAUGAGCCUCAGCUGUCACUGCACUCAGAGCACUGGGGCCUCUCUUGGGGACCCACAGAGUAACAGGGAUGGGCAUGAAUCUGGGGCUUGGGGACAGAACCUCCAGGGGGCGUCUCAGGGUGGAUGCUGUCUGGGGAAAUGUUCCCCGUCGGACCCAACUGUGUUGU